GCAUCGGUGGUAGAAUUCUCGCCUGCCACGCGGGUAACCCAGGUUCGAUUCCCGGUCGAUGCA
rnacentral:tRNA from 1 species